rnacentral:rRNA from 1 species
UACAGAGACCUCAAACAUUAUCCGGAUUCAUUGGGCGUAAAGCGUCCGCAGGUGGCUUUGCAAGUUGAUGGUUAAAUCCUGGGGCUUAACUUCAGGACCGCUGUCAAAACUUCAAAGCUCGAGACUGGGAGAGGCAAACGGAACUGCCGGUGUAGUCGUAAUAAGCGCUGAUAUCGGCAGGAACACCAAAGGCGAAGGCAGUUUGCUGGAACAGUUCUGACACUCAUGGACGAAAGCGUGGGGAGCGAAUGGG